CAUAGUUAUUCGAUGGCGGCUAUUGUGAGGUUGCAAUUGAAGGGAGCAGAGGAAGACGAGAGUACUACAAGUUUUGAUCAUGUCCCCCUAUAGCUAGCCACUUCUCACUCUGAAAUCUGCUCAACUCUUUCCCGACUGACCAUGUCCGAAGCAUACCCGUGGCCCUUUUGUUCAACCCUGAGCAAAUCCCAUUAUCUCUCACCCAAAAUUGUAACAACCCAAACGCUCAAAACACCCAAUUCCUUUCUUCUGCCGAGUAUGAGAAAGAUCAGAGGUUUCAAGCUCGAAAAAGGACUUUGUCGGGUCACCCGUUGGUUCUUCCUCUGAAAACCCACGACCCGACACAGAUAACCACCGGCUUUGCCCGCCUUCAUCUCCGCCAUGCAAGUACAAGUCGCUUCGCGCGAAGCUACUUACUUGAGGUCAUCUGUUGUUUCUCAGGGAAUUGGUAGGCUAUCUUUGGUUGCUGCAUCUGCAGCUCAAUCAGCUGCAACUGUAGUACAGGCUGGCACAAAAAGCUUACCUCUAAGCAUUUCAGGAGGAGACACAUGAAUAGCUACUGAGUUUUGCUGAAGCUGAGCUACUGUUGUAGGACUAAAAAGGAGGGGAUCCACCGAUGAGUUCUUAGAUUUUAUCUUCAAAAUGUUAUGGCAGUUCCUUAUAUGUGGAAUUUGUAACGUUUAAAGUGAAGCAUAUUGUUUGUCUUUUAGGUGUUUGGCGGGGUUGGAAAGGAGAUAAAUUUUUUGCAACUGCAAGGAAUAUAAGUGCAGAUACAGAUACACACCACCCUCACAAACCAUAAUCUCCAUAAAGAAAUUGUUAUCGUUUCUAGAGGUAUAUGCUAUUGAUUUUGUUAUUUACGACCUGACACGGAUACCACCGGCUUUGCCCGCCUUCACUCUGCCAUGCAAGUACAAGUCGAUUCUCAUGAAGCUACUCGCUUGGGGUUAUCUGUUGUUUCUCAAGUUGCAUUAUUUGUAUUUUAUCUCAAUCUAUGUUUACUUUAAUGUGUGAGUGUAGAUGUAAAUGGCUGAUAUUGAUAAAUGCAUGCACACAUUCAUUUAUGUUUUCUACAGGGAAUUGGUAGGCUAUCUUUGGUUGCUGCAUCUGCAGCUCAAUCAGCUGCAACUAUAGUACAGGCUGGCACAAAAAGCUCACCUCUCAGAAUUGGUCACCUUGGCACCAGUUGGCUCCUUCUUCCUUUGGGUUUCGUCCCAAUUCCGGUACUGUGCUCAGAAUCACCACCUCAUGGGCAGCAAUGUCGAAUCCGAAGGUUACCCAUUUCACUACUCCCACCCAGAAUCUCAUUUCAUCUAGGCAUUUUAUUGAACACCUGGUGUGCAUUUGAGCUCAAAUUGCAUUUGUCACAUGGGUUGGUAAAUCUGGCCUUGCAGCAACGAUGCCGAAGCCACACUAGCAACGACGCCCAGCUGCGCUGGUAAUAUCCCAAGCUCUCUGGUAUCCACAUCUUCAAAUUCAGCUCCAAGUUCAAACUAAAACAUAGUAGAUUAUAUAAACAAAAUAAAAAGUAACAAUAGACAUAAAAAGAAGAAAUGUUACCGUUUGUCUUUGAAAGAAUCAGGGGAAUUAAAAAUUCAUGUUUCAACAGCCAAUG